GUGCUCGCUUCGCAGCACAUAUGCUAAAAUGAUACAGAGGAGAUUAGCAUGGCCCCUGCGCAAAGAUGACACACAAAUUCGUGAAGCGUUCCAUAUUUUU
rnacentral:snRNA from 1 species